rnacentral:other from 17 species
AAAACUGUCAGAGGGGAGUAACUUGAGAAUAGUUAUUGAAUGCAUUUAAACCGAUAAUAACUAUUCAACACUUUGUCGUCAUUACGAAGAUAAGUCUUCCGGUAAAGUGGGCAAAAAUAUUGCUAAGUGAGACCUUUGCUAUUAAA